GACGAACGCUGGCGGCGUGCUUAACACAUGCAAGUCGAACGGUGAAGGGGCCUGCUUUUGUGGGUCCUGGAUGAGUGGCGAACGGGUGAGUAACACGUGAGUAACCUGCCCCCUUCUUCUGGAUAACCGCAUGAAAGUGUGGCUAAUACGGGAUAUUCUGGGUCUGUCGCAUGGUGGGCCUGGGAAAGGUUUUUUCCGGUGGGGGAUGGGCUCGCGGCCUAUCAGCUUGUUGGUGGGGUGAUGGCCUACCAAGGCGGUGACGGGUAGCCGGCCUGAGAGGGUGGACGGUCACACUGGGACUGAGACACGGCCCAGACUCCUACGGGAGGCAGCAGUGGGGAAUAUUGCACAAUGGGCGCAAGCCUGAUGCAGCGACGCCGCGUGAGGGAUGGAGGCCUUCGGGUUGUGAACCUCUUUCGCCAGUGAAGCAGGCCUGCUCCUUUUU
rnacentral:rRNA from 1 species